rnacentral:lncRNA from 1 species
AGCCGCUCUCUGCCUCGAGCCUCCUGCCAAAUGUUUAACCGGGGGCGGSGGGAGCGGGAGAGAUAAAAGAACUGUUCUGCGCCAGAAACUGCCAUCUUGCAAGAAACACGUCUCUCCAGGCUAGUGAUCAACUUGCUUUGGUGGAACCGGGGGCACUAAAAUGUGAGAACAAGGAUGUAAAAGCAGGAAGACAUGCAUCAAACUUCAGGGGCAUUUGGCUUCAUUCAGCUGCUUCUGUUUGAGCCUGACAAAGAUCUUCCAGAGGUCCAUCCUGACUUGAUAUCAAGACUCUGAGAGGCAAAGACCCCACUUCUCUGGCUAGCUCUAGGGAUUAAUACCUCUUAGAGGUAUUUGCCAUUGCAAUCUGCCUCAAAACUGUGGCUGCUGCUUCUUGUCUUUGUCAUUGUGCUGGAGAAUGCUUACCUUUGCCACAAGGAAACACCAGAUAGUUG